UACGUAGGGGGCAAGCGUUGUCCGGAAUCAUUGGGCGUAAAGAGCGUGUAGGCGGUCCGGUAAGUCGGCUGUGAAAGUCCAGGGCUCAACCCUGGGAUGCCGGUCGAUACUGCCCGGACUAGAGUUCGGAAGAGGCGAGUGGAAUUCCCGGUGUAGCGGUGAAAUGCGCAGAUAUCGGGAGGAACACCUAUGGCGAAGGCAGCUCGCUGGGACGUUACUGACGCUGGAGACGCGAAAGCGUGGGGAGGCAAACAG
rnacentral:rRNA from 1 species